rnacentral:rRNA from 1 species
UACGGGGGGGGCAAGCGUUGUUCGGAAUUACUGGGCGUAAAGGGCUCGUAGGUGGCCAACUAAGUCAGACGUGAAAUCCCUCGGCUUAACCGGGGAACUGCGUCUGAUACUGGAUGGCUUGAGAUUGGGAGAGGGAUGCGGAAUUCCAGGUGUAGCGGUGAAAUGCGUAGAUAUCUGGAGGAACACCGGUGGCGAAGGCGGCAUCCUGGACCAACACUGACACUGAUGAGCGAAAGCCAGGGGAGCAAACGGG